rnacentral:rRNA from 1 species
AAUAGAUACCCCGGUAGUCCAUGCCGUAAACGUUGGGCACUAGGUGUGGGGCCCAUUCCACGAGUUCCGUGCCGCAGCAAACGCAUUAAGUGCCCCGCCUGGGGAGUACGGCCGCAAGGCUAAAACUCAAAGGAAUUGACGGGGGCCCGCACAAGCGGCGGAGCAUGCGGAUUAAUUCGAUGCAACGCGAAGAACCUUACCAAGGCUUGACAUGCACGGGAAGCCACCAGAGAUGGUGGUCUCUUUGGACACUCGUGCACAGGUGGUGCAUGGUUGUCGUCAGCUCGUGUCGUGAGAUGUUGGGUUAAGUCCCGCAACGAGCGCAACCCUCGUCCCAUGUUGCCAGCGGGUUAUGCCGGGGACUCGAUGGGAGACUGCCGGGGUCAACUCGGAGGAAGGUGGGGAUGACGUCAAAUCAUCAUGCCCCUUAUGUCUUGGGCUUCACGCAUGCUACAAUGGCCGGUUACAAAGGGCUGCGAUACCGGUAAGGUGGAGCGAAUCCCGAAAAAGCCGGUNUCGAGUUCGGAUUGGGGUCUGCAACCG